rnacentral:rRNA from 1 species
GAUGAACGCUGGCGGCGUGCUUAACACAUGCAAGUCGAACGAUGAAGCCCAGCUUGCUGGGUGGAUUAGUGGCGAACGGGUGAGUAACACGUGAGUAACCUGCCCUUAACUCUGGGAUAAGCCUGGGAAACUGGGUCUAAUACCGGAUAGGAGCGCCUACCGCAUGGUGGGUGUUGGAAAGAUUUAUCGGUUUUGGAUGGACUCGCGGCCUAUCAGCUUGUUGGUGAGGUAAUGGCUCACCAAGGCGACGACGGGUAGCCGGCCUGAGAGGGUGACCGGCCACACUGGGACUGAGACACGGCCCAGACUCCUACGGGAGGCAGCAGUGGGGGAUAUUGCACAAUGGGCGAAAGCCUGAUGCAGCGACGCCGCGUGAGGGAUGACGGCCUUCGGGUUGUAAACCUCUUUCAGUAGGGAAGAAGCGAAAGUGACGGUACCUGCAGAAGAAGCACCGGCUAACUACGUG